rnacentral:rRNA from 1 species
AUGGGGAGCGGCCGUGUCUGCUCCGUUGUCGCGUCCGUCGUGUUGCUCUGGUUGGGCGUGGCCGCUGCGCAGGGUGACUCUCCUUGGAAGACGCUUAGCGGCAAUGCUCCGGCGAUCAUAGCCAAGGGUGGAUUUUCAGGCCUAUUCCCUGACUCAAGUGAAUUCGCUUACCAGUUCGCGAUGAUUGCGAGCUCGCCCGAUACAAUCCUGUAUUGUGAUGUCCGGCUGACCAAGGAUGGACUUGGCGUCUGCCUGCCGGACAUUAAGAUGGACAACUGCACCAACAUUCCAGAUUUCUAUCCUAAGGGUAAGAAGAGCUACCUUGUCAAUGGCGUAUCGACAACGGGGUGGUUCUCCGUGGACUACAACGGCACCGAGCUCUCGCAAGUGUCUUUGAAGCAGUCAAUCUUCUCUCGCACGCCCAGGUUUGAUCCAAGCUUCUUCCCAUUGCUCGCCGUCGAAGACGUGGCAUCCAAGUUUAAGCCUCCUGGAAUGUGGCUCAAUAUCCAGCAUGACGGUUUCUACAGCCAGUUCAACAUGAGCAUGAGGAAGUACAUCCUUUCUGUGUCGAGACGUGUUAUUGUUGACUACAUCUCAUCACCGGAAGCAAGCUUCCUCACCAGCAUCAGUGGAAGGGUUAGCAACAACACAAAGCUCGUGUUCCGCUUUCUUGACGAGGCCACUCUUGAGCCAUCUACCAAAGAGACAUAUGGUUCCAUGUUGAAAAACCUUACAUUUAUCAAGACAUUUGCAUCUGGGAUACUUGUCCCGAAGAAGUACAUCUGGCCUGUUUCACCAGAUAAUUAUCUGCAACCAUACACUUCGAUCGUCGAUGAUGCUCAUAAAGCAGGGCUGGAAAUUUAUGCUGCUGAUUUUGCCAACGACUUUGCGCUCAGUUACAACCAUAGCUACGAUCCAUUAGCUGAAUCUCUCUCGUUCAUUGAUAAUGGUGCAUUUUCUGUUGAUGGCAUACUGACUGAUUUCCCCGUUACGCCUUCAGAAGCUAUUGGCUGUUUUGCGAAUUUGAACAAAAGCAACACAGAUCAUGGGAAACCUCUAAUUAUUUCUCACAAUGGAGCCAGUGGAGAUUACCCAGGCUGCACAGAUCUAGCUUAUCAGAAAGCAGUCGACGAUGGUGCAGAUGUCAUUGAUUGCCCUGUGCAAGUGACCAAAGACGGCAUACCAGUAUGCAUGGGAUCCAUUAACUUAAUGGAUAGUACUACUGUUGCAAAAUCACCAUUUGCGUCCCAGGCAGCAGUAAUGAAAGAUAUUGAGAGUGUCCUAGGAGUCUUUACUUUCAACCUCACUUGGGAUGACAUCGUGAAGAAUCUAAAACCCAAGAUAUCUACCCCACUUAGCACCUUCAGUUUGGACAGAAAUCCAAGAUACAGGAAUGCAGGCAAUUUCAUGAGAUUAUCAGACUUUCUGGACUUCUCAAAAGAUAAGGAUUUAUCAGGAAUCAUGAUUAGCAUAGAGCAUGCUGCUUUUCUAGCAGAGGAACUCGGAUUUGACAUGGUAGAUGCAGUUAUCAAAGCGCUUGACGACUCCGGCUACAACAAACAAACUGCUCAGAAAGUUAUGAUUCAGUCAACCAACAGCUCGGUUCUGGUGAAGUUGAAGCAGCAAACAAAGUAUGACCUGGUGUACAUGAUCAAUGAAGAUGUCAGCGAUGCCGCGCCUUCCUCCCUCGCGGGCAUUAAAAAGUUUGCCGAUGCCGUUUCUGUGGAGACCAGCUCUGUUUUCCCUGAAAACCGCCAUUUCACGUCGCACCAGACAGACCUUGUCGAGUCCCUGCAGACCGCCGGGCUCUCAGUCUAUGCCUACACUCUCAUGAACGAGUUUGUUGCUCAGCCAUACGACUUCUUCUCGGAUGCGACCGCGGAGAUCAUUGCCUAUGUUCAGGGUGCCGGAGUGGAUGGGCUAAUCACCGACUUCCCGGCGACGGCCCGGAGAUACAAAUCGAACACUUGCAUGAACAUGGGGAACAAAACUCCGAGCUUCAUGGCCCCUCCUAGGCCUGGUGAUCUGCUGCAGCUCAUCAGUAAGCCGGCGCAACCACCGGCCCUAGCCCCGAUGCCCCUGCUAAUGGAUUCUGACGUGUCGGAGCCGCCCCUACCGCCCGCAAGAUUGAACAAUGGUACUACAGCUCCAGCACCUUCGUCUGCACCCAGGAUGCAGACUCGGAUCCCAUUCCUCGUCACCUUAGCGAUGCUUUGCGUCUGGGCCACGGUCUGA